AUACGGAGGGGGCUAGCGUUGUUCGGAAUUACUGGGCGUAAAGCGUACGUAGGCGGACUGAUCAGUUGGGGGUGAAAUCCCAGGGCUUAACCCUGGAACUGCCUUCAAUACUGUCAGUCUUGAGUUUUGGAGAGGUGAGUGGAAUUCCUAGUGUAGAGGUGAAAUUCAUAGAUAUUAGGAGGAACACCAGUGGCGGAGGCGGCUCACUGGCCCAUUACUGACGCUGAGGUACGAAAGCGUGGGGAGCAAACAGGAUUAGAUACCCUAGUAGUCC
rnacentral:rRNA from 1 species